rnacentral:rRNA from 1 species
GACGAACGCUGGCGGCGUGCUUAACACAUGCAAGUCGAACGAUGAAGCUGGAGCUUGCUCCGGUGGAUUAGUGGCGAACGGGUGAGUAACACGUGAGCAAUCUGCCCUUGACUCUGGGAUAACUGCGGGAAACUGUAGCUAAUACCGGAUACGACACCUUGGGGCAUCCCAGGGUGUGGAAAGAAUUUCGGUCAAGGAUGAGCUCGCGGCCUAUCAGCUAGUUGGUGAGGUAAUGGCUCACCAAGGCGACGACGGGUAGCCGGCCUGAGAGGGUGACCGGCCACACUGGAACUGAGACACGGUCCAGACUCCUACGGGAGGCAGCAGUGGGGAAUAUUGCACAAUGGGCGAAAGCCUGAUGCAGCAACGCCGCGUGAGGGAUGAAGGCCUCGGUUGUAAACCUCUUUUAGUCAGGAAGAAGCGAAAGUGACGGUACCUGCAG